GACGAACGCUGGCGGCGCGCCUAACACAUGCAAGUCGAACGGAGCUGAGAGAAGCUUGCUUUUCUUAGCUUAGUGGCGAACGGGUGAGUAACGCGUGAGUAACCUGCCCUGGAGUGGGGGACAACAGGUGGAAACGACUGCUAAUACCGCAUAAGCCCACGAUCCGGCAUCGGAUUGAGGGAAAAGGAUUUAUUCGCUUCAGGAUGGACUCGCGUCCAAUUAGCUAGUUGGUGAGGUAACGGCCCACCAAGGCGACGAUUGGUAGCCGGACUGAGAGGUUGAACGGCCACAUUGGGACUGAGACACGGCCCAGACUCCUACGGGAGGCAGCAGUGGGGGAUAUUGCACAAUGGGGGAAACCCUGAUGCAGCGACGCCGCGUGGAGGAAGAAGGUUUUCGGAUUGUAAACUCCUGUCGUUAGGGACGAUAAUGACGGUACCUAACAAGAAAGCACCGGCUAACUACGUG
rnacentral:rRNA from 1 species